GCCAGGCAUGUUGGUGCAUGCCUGUAAUCCCAGCUACUCGGAGGCUAAGGCAAGAGAAUCACUUGAACCCGGGAGGUAGAGGUUGCAGUGAACCGAGAACCCACCACUGAGCUCUAGCCUGGGUGAUAGAGUGAGACUCUGUCUUAU
rnacentral:sRNA from 1 species